ensembl:lncRNA
AAAUGACUGACCUCUGUACAGUUCAGAGACACAGUUCCUAGGCCCUGCCAAUCCACGAAGAUGAAUUCCUGAGCUGUCACUUGAGCCCUUUGAAAACAACCUCUUUGACAGUUAAAACGAAUUGGCAGAGGAGACAUAUGAGCAUUGUAGCUUUCAGAUUGAUGAGGUAUUUGAGAGAGAGCAAGUUACUCAUCUUGGAUCAAGAGGAAUUACCAGAGUGCAAUUUCUCUCCCUGGGAAGCGGAUCCUGUUGCUGAAGCUAACACGACUCCUUAUGUCACAAGCAAUUAAUCAGCAUGCAGGGCCUCCAGGGUUGUUCUGUCAGGAGGCAGUGUUGCUGCUACAGUCAAGUAAUGCAUGAGUGUCAUCCUUUUAAGUCAUAAAGAAUAUGUAAAAAUAUGCCUCAUUUUCCUAAGCAGAGCAGGAGGCACCCAGAGCAGUUUCCAGGUUUCCAAGCAUCCUUAUGGUGGGGACUUCCUCAUCAGGACAGAGCUACAUAAGUUUUUAUCGUAUCAUCCUGCUCUUCCUUCUCCAGCCUAAACAGGCACUGUCUGAUCUCACCAUAAAACUGUUUCUAUACUUAAUUGUGUUUAGAAAUGGAGGCCAAGAUUAAAAUCUUUUGUCUGAAUAUCCAAGUUUUUACUGGUUUGCACUGUGUCUUGGUCAUUCUGUUAUUUCUGCAGGACAGCACUAAAUGUAAUUCAUCCGAGACGUACAAACAAAUGAACAAACAAAACUGUAUUUUUGCUGUUCUUUAUGAACUGGCAUAUCCCUGGAAAAAUUUUGGUUACCUGGCCUUAAAUACUGAGUCAUCCACUUCAGUUGAGUUUCCACCUGCCUCAGGUAUACUGGGAGAUUGACUGCUUUUCAUUGCUUAGCAGUUUUACUGCAAUUCCACUCUAAUUACACUUAGAAUAUGUAUUUUUAAAGAGUAUAAUUAGCCUUAAGUUUAUGACUGGAGUUAUUAACUUUCUCUUCUUAAUGGAACAGAAUUUAACCUGUAGACAUACUGGAAUUAUUCUGACAAUUUUUGUAACACUUGCAUACAUAUUAAUGCAAAAUAAAACUUUUUAAACAAUUAUGAUGUAAGGUAAGUUGCACAGCGGGAUGCUAAAAAUAAAAUUCCUCAAU